GCUGGGAUAGCUCAGCUGGUAAAGCAUGAGACUGUUAAUCCCAUGGUUAUGGGUUCGAGUCCCAUGUUGGGCA